rnacentral:misc_RNA from 1 species
CGCAAAUUGCGCCUUUUGGUAUUCCGAAAGGCAUGCCUGUUUGAGUGUCAUAUAGACCUCACCCAACUGGUUUUAUGAUCAGCUGCGGUGCUUUGGGUGUCUGCCAAUACGUCAUGUUUGGCUCGCCUUAAAUGUCUAAGUGGAUAAAGCGUGAUAAGUCUUCGCUUUGUGUGUCCACUCUAAUACACCUAUACUCUGACCUCAAAUCAGGUAGGACUACCCGCUGAACUUAA